rnacentral:rRNA from 1 species
GGUUAAGCGACUAAGCGUACACGGUGGAUGCCUAGGCAAUCAGAGGCGAUGAAGGACGUGCUAAUCUGCGAUAAGCGUCGGUAAGGUGAUAUGAACCGUUACAACCGACGAUUUCCGAAUGGGGAAACCCAGUGCAAUUCGUUGCACUAUCGUUUGAUGAAUACAUAGUCAAACGAAGCGAACCGGGGGAACUGAAACAUCUCAGUACCCCGAGGAAAAGAAAUCAACCGAGAUUCCCCUAGUAGCGGCGAGCGAACGGGGAGCAGCCCAGAGUCUUAAUCAGCAUUAGCAUCAGGAGAACGGUCUGGAAAGUCCGGCAGUAAAGGGUGAUAGCCCCGUAUCCGAAGGUGUUAGUGUUGUGAACUCGACGAGUAGGGCGGGACACGUGUUAUCCUGUCUGAAUAUGGGGGGACCAUCCUCCAAGGCUAAAUACUCCUGAUUGACCGAUAGUGAACCAGUACCGUGAGGGAAAGGCGAAAAGAACCCCGGCGAGGGGAGUGAAAUAGAACCUGAAACCGUGUACGUACAAGCAGUGGGAGCCUUGAUUUAUCAGGGUGACUGCGUACCUUUUGUAUAAUGGGUCAGCGACUUAUAUUCUGUAGCAAGGUUAACCGAAUAGGGGAGCCGUAGGGAAACCGAGUCUUAACUGGGCGAAUGAGUUGCAGGGUAUAGACCCGAAACCCGGUGAUCUAGCCAUGGGCAGGUUGAAGGUUGGGUAACACUAACUGGAGGACCGAACCGACUAAUGUUGAAAAAUUAGCGGAUGACUUGUGGCUGGGGGUGAAAGGCCAAUCAAACCGGGAGAUAGCUGGUUCUCCCCGAAAGCUAUUUAGGUAGCGCCUCGUGAACUCAUCUUCGGGGGUAGAGCACUGUUUCGACUAGGGGGUCAUCCCGACUUACCAACUCGAUGCAAACUACGAAUACCGAAGAAUGUUAUCACGGGAGACACACGGCGGGUGCUAACGUUCGUCGUGAAGAGGGAAACAACCCAGACCGCCAGCUAAGGUCCCAAAGUCAUAGUUAAGUGGGAAACGAAGUGGGAAGGCUCAGACAGCCAGGAUGUUGGCUUAGAAGCAGCCAUCAUUUAAAGAAAGCGUAAUAGCUCACUGGUCGAGUCGGCCUGCGCGGAAGAUGUAACGGGGCUAAACUAUGCACCGAAGCUGCGGCAGCGAACGUAUCACUUAAACUGAUUAAGUGAUACUCAAAUGUAUCAAAACGAUUGACGGAGCGAAGCGACGUCAAUGCGUCCAACAAAGUCGAGGCGGAAACGUCAGGCAGUCAGUUUAAGGAUACGUUCGUUGGGUAGGGGAGCGUUCUGUAAGCCUGUGAAGGUGUGCUGUGAGGCAUGCUGGAGGUAUCAGAAGUGCGAAUGCUGACAUAAGUAACGAUAAUGCGGGUGAAAAACCCGCACGCCGGAAGACCAAGGGUUCCUGUCCAACGUUAAUCGGGGCAGGGUGAGUCGACCCCUAAGGCGAGGCAGAAAUGCGUAGUCGAUGGGAAACGGGUUAAUAUUCCCGUACUGGUGAUAAUUGCGAUGGGGGGACGGAGAAGGCUAGGCUAUCCGGGCGACGGUUGUCCCGGUUUAAGGAUGUAGGCAGGUGAAUUAGGCAAAUCCGGUUCACUAUAUGCUGAGGUCCGACGACGAGUCACUACGGUGAUGAAGUAGCUCAUGCCCCGCUUCCAGGAAAAGCCUCUAAGCUCUAGAUUAUCAUUAAUCGUACCCCAAACCGACACAGGUGGUCAGGUAGAGAAUACUCAGGCGCUUGAGAGAACUCGGGUGAAGGAACUAGGCAAAAUGGUGCCGUAACUUCGGGAGAAGGCACGCUGGCAUUAGGUGAAGUGGUUUACCCAUGGAGCUGAAGCCAGUCGCAGAUACCAGCUGGCUGCAACUGUUUAUUAAAAACACAGCACUGUGCAAACACGAAAGUGGACGUAUACGGUGUGACGCCUGCCCGGUGCUGGAAGGUUAAUUGAUGGGGUUAUCCGUAAGGAGAAGCUCUUGAUCGAAGCCCCAGUAAACGGCGGCCGUAACUAUAACGGUCCUAAGGUAGCGAAAUUCCUUGUCGGGUAAGUUCCGACCUGCACGAAUGGCGUAAUGAUGGCCAGGCUGUCUCCACCCGAGACUCAGUGAAAUUGAACUCGCUGUGAAGAUGCAGUGUACCCGCGGCAAGACGGAAAGACCCCGUGAACCUUUACUAUAGCUUGACACUGAACAUUGAGCCUUGAUGUGUAGGAUAGGUGGGAGGCUUUGAAGUGUGGACGCCAGUCUGCAUGGAGCCAACCUUGAAAUACCACCCUUUAAUGUUUGAUGUUCUAACGUUGCCCCAUUAUCUGGGGUGCGGACAGUGUCUGGUGGGUAGUUUGACUGGGGCGGUCUCCUCCCAAAGAGUAACGGAGGAGCACGAAGGUUGGCUAAGCAUGGUCGGACAUCAUGCGGUUAGUGCAAAGGCAUAAGCCAGCUUGACUGCGAGAGUGACGGCUCGAGCAGGUACGAAAGUAGGUCUUAGUGAUCCGGUGGUUCUGAAUGGAAGGGCCAUCGCUCAACGGAUAAAAGGUACUCCGGGGAUAACAGGCUGAUACCGCCCAAGAGUUCAUAUCGACGGCGGUGUUUGGCACCUCGAUGUCGGCUCAUCACAUCCUGGGGCUGAAGUAGGUCCCAAGGGUACGGCUGUUCGCCGUUUAAAGUGGUACGCGAGCUGGGUUUAGAACGUCGUGAGACAGUUCGGUCCCUAUCUGCCGUGGGCGUUGGAAGAUUGAAAGGGGCUGCUCCUAGUACGAGAGGACCGGAGUGGACGCACCACUGGUGUUCGGGUUGUCAUGCCAAUGGCAUUGCCCGGUAGCUAAGUGCGGAAGAGAUAACCGCUGAAAGCAUCUAAGCGGGAAACUUGCCUUGAGAUGAGUCUUCCCUGACUCUUUAAGAGUCCUAAAGGAACGUUUAAGACUAAGACGUUGAUAGGUUGGGUGUGUAAGCGUAGCGAUACGUUGAGCUAACCAAUACUAAUGAACCGUGAGGCUUAACCUG